ensembl:lncRNA
CUCCCACUGUAUGCUGUCUUCUUCCCACCCUUAAAGUACAGCAGGACAAUGUGCAAUCUCCUCUUUCAAAGCAGUCCUCUGAAGGUGAGCAUUUUCCCCAGCAGGGCAGAGAUUCAGUGCCAGAAUGGAAAUCUCCCAGCUUGAAUUUUCCCCUUGCCUCCCCUUUCUUGCGAGAACCUGUCUUUGGUCAUCUGAAGUACAGCUUGCACGGCUGAUCAGCAGUAAAUUGUAAAUCCUGUGUUUGCUUUGGAGCGGCCACAGCGCCAUUUCCUCCCUCAGGACACCGAGUGCUUUGAAGGAUUGUGCUUUCUGCUGGGAAACAGAUAUAGAAGGGUGCAGGGGAUUGUCAAGAGUGGAAACUUGGUGCAGGAAUGCUCAGCAUUCAAACCAGCCUUAAAAGAAGUUUGUGGGAAGUUGCUGUUUCCUUGAUUGGAAGAAGAAUAGAAGCUGGGCAAGGCUGUGACUCAACCACUGUGACACGACUUCAGGGCAUCCACUGUCUGCUGUGGGUGGACACUGAGUCUGGACAGGAGAAAAUGCAAGUGAAGAAGCAGAGGAGCCAGAUCAGCAUCCCUGGCAGUCUGAGGCAAUUCAUGAUCUCUGUCAGGCCACCCUUGCUAGUGAGCGUCAUGGUACAGCUGAGCAACAAAGCAGCACUGCCAGUGGAGGGCCAUUCCUCACCAGCACUGUGGGGAAGGUGUGAAGACAAGAGGCAGCAGAGAUUGGCAUCAAAACCUCACUUUAGGUGGGAAUCAAAAUCCCAAAAAUGUGUUUUCAAGCUCUUCCCUAAAGAGUUUGUUGUCUUUCUGCCCACCCCCUCCCCUUGCCCUUGAAUCUCUUAGUUACAAUAGGAAAAUUGUUUCACUCUUGCUUUUCCCUGUAGCUCAGCACUGGGCUCCCUUCCCAGAGCAAGUUUUUCAACUGAUUUUAAAAAGAGACUGUUUCCCCAUGAGACAGUGAGGAGGCAGAUGUGCUCUCUGACAUGCCAUGGCAUGUCUGCUGGCAGUGUUGUGCUCCAAGUCCAAGCUUGGUAUGCCUACUGAAAGAAAUGGUGUCUUUCUCAUGAGAGUACUUGUCCUUGGUGACACUAUCUUCUUCCUUUUCUUAGGAGAAAGAAACAGUCACAUACAACACUAAAGUCUCACAGGGGCCAUGAGAGGAGGCUGGAGAUUGAGCCUGGAAAAAUAUUUGGAGUCAAGAAUAUUUUGAAAGAUUAGGCUAGAGGGGUCAAGCAUGUGAGGGGAUAGAUUUUCUAUUUGUAGCAAAUCCAGUGUCAGUCGUGUUAACAGAGACAGGGCUGGAGAAGCAGUGUGGGAAAGCAGACAGACAAGUCUGGCAGCUUCUUAAUGGCUAGGGAGUUUGGAUGCUGACAUGCUUUUCAGGUUGUUUUGCAGGGAGGUAUUCCUCCUUUUGAGGCAUUGUUUUUGAUGCUUGUGACCCUCGGAGAACAGGAGGAUCGAUCAUCUAUGUCAGGUCAAUGAAGAUGGAAGUAAACCUUUCAUUCUCCUUUCCCCCUAUUCCUCUUUGUAUUUUCAACUCAUUUUCUUAUCACAAGAGACUUUCCUCAGAUUUCUCUCAUCAUAUCACUUGACCUGACACAACCUGCCUCCUGAGUUUCCUCACACCUAUUUCCAUUUAUUUUCCUUCUUCACCUUUUCUUAGCACCCCAGAUUUUAAGGAAUGCAGAUCCUCCUCAACUCUAAUUUUUGCCUAGUAUCUUCCUUUUCCUGCUGCUCAAUACCAUAUUCUGGGUCCUUACCUCUUUUCUUGCCCUUCCUUCUCUCCAACCUCUCUUAAUUUUCCUCAAUAUGCUUUACCUCUGUCAUGGCUUGC